rnacentral:rRNA from 1 species
CUGGGAAACUGCCUGAUGGAGGGGGAUAACUACUGGAAACGGUAGCUAAUACCGCAUAACGUCGCAAGACCAAAGAGGGGGACCUUCGGGCCUCUUGCCAUCGGAUGUGCCCAGAUGGGAUUAGCUAGUAGGUGGGGUAACGGCUCACCUAGGCGACGAUCCCUAGCUGGUCUGAGAGGAUGACCAGCCACACUGGAACUGAGACACGGUCCAGACUCCUACGGGAGGCAGCAGUGGGGAAUAUUGCACAAUGGGCGCAAGCCUGAUGCAGCCAUGCCGCGUGUAUGAAGAAGGCCUUCGGGUUGUAAAGUACUUUCAGCGGGGAGGAAGGCGAUAAGGUUAAUAACCUUGUCGAUUGACGUUACCCGCAGAAGAAGCACCGGCUAACUCCGUGCCAGCAGCCGCGGUAAUACGGAGGGUGCAAGCGUUAAUCGGAAUUACUGGGCGUAAAGCGCACGCAGGCGGUCUGUCAAGUCGGAUGUGAAAUCCCCGGGCUCAACCUGGGAACUGCAUUCGAAACUGGCAGGCUAGAGUCUUGUAGAGGGGGGUAGAAUUCCAGGUGUAGCGGUGAAAUGCGUAGAG